GACGAACGCUGGCGGCGUGCUUAACACAUGCAAGUCGAACGGAAAGGCCCUGCUUUUGUGGGGUGCUCGAGUGGCGAACGGGUGAGUAACACGUGAGUAACCUGCCCUUGACUUUGGGAUAACUUCAGGAAACUGGGGCUAAUACCGGAUAGGAGCUCUCGCCGCAUGGUGGGGGCUGGAAAGUUUCGGCGGUUGGGGAUGGACUCGCGGCUUAUCAGCUUGUUGGUGGGGUAGUGGCUUACCAAGGCCUUGCCGGGUAGCCGACCUGGGAGGAUGACCGGCCACAUUAGAACUGAGAUACGACCCAGCCUCCUCCGGGAGGCAGCGGUGGAGAAUAUUACACAAUGGGCGGAAGCCUGGUGCAGCACCGCCGCGUGCGGGAUGACGGCCUUCGGGUUGUAAACCGCUUUCGCCUGUGACGAAGCGUGAGUGACGGUAAUGGGUAAAGAAGCACCGGCUAACUACGUG
rnacentral:rRNA from 1 species